rnacentral:rRNA from 1 species
CCUACGGGAGGCAGCAGUAGGGAAUUUUCGUCAAUGGGCGCAAGCCUGAACGAGCAAUGCCGCGUGAACGAGGAAGGUCUUCGGAUCGUUAAGUUCUGUUGAAGGGGAAAAAGAGCGGAGAGAGGAAAUGAGCUCCGAUUGAUAUUACCCUUCGAGGAAGUGACGGCUAACUACGUGCCAGCAGCCGAGGUAAUACGUAGGGGGCGAGCGUUAUCCGGAAUGGUUGGGCGAAAGGGGUGCGUAGGCGGCCUGCUAAGUCUGGAGUGAAAGGGACGGGCUCAACCGGUACAGGCUCUGGAAACUGGCGGGCUAGAGAGCAGGAGAGGGCGGUGGAACUCCAGGUGUAGCGGUAAAAUGCGUAGAUAUAUGGAAGAACACCAGUGGCGAAGGCGGCCGCCUGGCCUGUUACUGACGCUGAGGCACGAAAGCGUGGGGAGCAAAUAGGAUUAGAUACCCGGGUAGUC